rnacentral:rRNA from 1 species
GACGAACGCUGGCGGCGUGCUUAACACAUGCAAGUCGAACGGAAAGGCCCUGCUUUUGUGGGGUGCUCGAGUGGCGAACGGGUGAGUAACACGUGAGUAACCUGCCCUUGACUUUGGGAUAACUUCAGGAAACUGGGGCUAAUACCGGAUAGGAGCUCCUGCUGCAUGGUGGGGGUUGGAAAGUUUCGGCGGUUGGGGAUGGACUCGCGGCUUAUCAGCUUGUUGGUGGGGUAGUGGCUUACCAAGGCUUUGACGGGUAGCCGGCCUGAGAGGGUGACCGGCCACAUUGGGACUGAGAUACGGCCCAGACUCCUACGGGAGGCAGCAGUGGGGAAUAUUGCACAAUGGGCGGAAGCCUGAUGCAGCAACGCCGCGUGCGGGAUGACGGCAUUAGGGUUGUAAACCGCUUUCGCCUGUGACGAAGCGUGAGUGACGGUAAUGGGUAAAGAAGCACCGGCUAACUACGUG